rnacentral:rRNA from 1 species
AUUGAACGCUGGCGGCAGGCCUAACACAUGCAAGUCGAGCGAGCGGCGGACGGGUGAGUAAUGUAUGGGGAUCUGCCCGAUAGGGGGGGAUAACUACUGGAAACGGUGGCUAAUACCGCAAACUAUCGGAUGAACCCAUUUGGGAUUAGCUAGUAGGUGGGGUAAAGGCUCACCUAGGCGCCGAUCCCUAGCGGGUCUGAGAGGAUGACCAGCAACAUGGGAACUGGAACACGGGCCAGACUCUUACGGGGGGCAGAGGUGGGGAAUAUUGGACAAUGGGGGAAAGCCGGAUGCAGCCAUGCCGCGUGGAUGAGGAGGGCCUUCGGGUGGUAAAGUAUGUUCAGCGGGGAGGCGUUACCCGCAGAAGAAGCACCGGCUAACUCCGUGCCAGCAGCCGCGGUAAUUC